UACGAAGGGGGCUAGCGUUGCUCGGAAUUACUGGGCGUAAAGCGCACGUAGGCGGAUUGUUAAGUCGGGGGUGAAAUCCUGGAGCUCAACUCCAGAACUGCCUUCGAUACUGGCGAUCUCGAGUUCGGGAGAGGUGAGUGGAACUGCGAGUGUAGAGGUGAAAUUCGUAGAUAUUGGGAAGAACACCGGUGGCGAAGGCGGCUCACUGGCUCAUUUCUGACGCUCAGGCGCGACAGCGUGGGGAUCAAACAGG
rnacentral:rRNA from 1 species